rnacentral:rRNA from 1 species
UACGGGGGGAGCAAGCGUUGUUCGGAUUUACUGGGCGUAAAGGGCGCGUAGGCGGUCAGCACAAGUCAGUUGUGAAAUCUCCGGGCUUAACUCGGAAAGGUCAACUGAUACUGUGCGACUAGAGUGCAGAAGGGGCAACUGGAAUUCUCGGUGUAGCGGUGAAAUGCGUAGAUAUCGAGAGGAACACCUGCGGCGAAGGCGGGUUGCUGGGCUGACACUGACGCUGAGGAGCGAAGGCUAGGGGAGCGAACGGG